rnacentral:rRNA from 1 species
GACGAAGGAUGCAAGCGUUAUCCGGAUUCAUUGGGGUUAAAGGGAGCGUAGGCGGCCCUAUAAGUCAGUGGUGAAAUCUCUCGGCUCAACCGAGAAAUUGCCAUUGAUACUGUAGGGCUUGAGUACAGUUGCCGUUGGCGGAAUAUGACAUGUAGUGGUGAAAUACAUAGAGAUGUCAUAGAACACCGAUUGCGAAGGCAGCUAACGAAGCUGUAACUGACGCUGAGGCUCGAAAGUGCGGGGAUCAAACAGG